AUACGGAGGGUGCAAGCGUUAUCCGGAAUCAUUGGGUUUAAAGGGUCCGCAGGCGGGGAUAUAAGUCAGUGGUGAAAUCCGGCAGCUCAACUGUCGAACUGCCAUUGAUACUGUAUUUCUUGAAUUAGUUGGAAGUGGGCGGAAUGUGACAUGUAGCGGUGAAAUGCAUAGAUAUGUCACAGAACACCGAUAGCGAAGGCAGCUCACUAUGACUAAAUUGACGCUCAUGGACGAAAGCGUGGGGAGC
rnacentral:rRNA from 1 species